UGGGGAAUAUUGCACAAUGGGCGCAAGCCUGAUGCAGCCAUGCCGCGUGUAUGAAGAAGGCCUUCGGGUUGUAAAGUACUUUCAGCGGGGAGGAAGGCGAUAAGGUUAAUAACCUUGUCGAUUGACGUUACCCGCAGAAGAAGCACCGGCUAACUCCGUGCCAGCAGCCGCGGUAAUACGGAGGGUGCAAGCGUUAAUCGGAAUUACUGGGUGUAAAGCGCACGCAGGCGGUCUGUCAAGUCGGAUGUGAAAUCCCCGGGCUCAACCUGGGAACUGCAUCCGAAACUGGCAGGCUAGAGUCUUGUAGAGGGGGGUAGAAUUCCAGGUGUAGCGGUGAAAUGCGUAGAGAUCUGGAGGAAUACCGGUGGCGAAGGCGGCCCCCUGGACAAAGACUGACGCUCAGGUGCGAAAGCGUGGGGAGCAAACA
rnacentral:rRNA from 1 species